rnacentral:lncRNA from 1 species
CCAGCAGAGCUGCCCAAAGCCACUCUGAAGGUGCAGCUAUUGGACUUCAAGCGGUUUUCAGAACAUGAGCCACUGGGGGAGCUCCAGCUACCCCUGGGCACUGUGGACCUUCAGCAUGUCCUGGAGAGCUGGUACCAGCUAGGCCCUCCAGGUUCCACUGAGAGGCCUAUGUGAAGGUCCAGCUUAUAUUAAACCAGAGAAAGUGGAAGAAGAACAAAACAUCCUCCAAGAAGGGCACAACUAACCCCUACUUCAACGAGGCCUUCGUCUUCCUGGUUCCCGUUAGCCAGCUCCAGAGCAUGGACCUGGUGCUGGCUGUCUGGGCCCGGGGCCUGCAGCUCCUGGCUGAGCCUGUGGGCAAAGUGUUGCUGGGUCCCCGGGCUUCAGGCCAACCCCUACAGCACUGGGCAGACAUGCUGGCCCAUGCUCGGCGGCCCAUCGCCCAGUGGCACCACCUGCGGUCACCCAGGGAAGUGGAUCGUGCUCUGGCCCUGCAGCCUCGUCUUCCCCUGCUUAGGCCUCGCUCCUGAAAGAACCGUAGGUCUCAGCUUUCCCCAGUGGAGAGCUGUGGCCAUUUGUGCAGGCUCUUCGGAUCUCUCUGUAAUAAAUGCAUCCUCUAUCACA